ACAUCUUCCAUCUCCUACCCUCGCUUCGAAACCCAAUUAAGCCCCCUCAAUCUUGCCUUCGCAGCUUCGCUUCCUUCUCUCUUCCUGUUGCCAUGUCCACCCACAUCGACCACUGUCUCUCUCUCCUUGCCUCCCUCCUCCGCCGUGGCUUGCCCUCUGAAACCCUUUCAGUCCUCGAUCGCAUCGUCAUCCUCUUCUCCACUCCCAACACUCUCGCCGUGGCCCCCUUUGCCUCCUCAUCAAGCCUCCCCAUGGACCCUGCCCGCCUCCUCCGCCCCCUCCUUUCGUCACGUCAAUUCACGAAGACAUCCCAGGUCUUCCUCUCAUUCACCCCUCCGUCCGUCUCCGACCAAUUGCUUCUUGACUCAAUGCUCCUAUGCUACUGCGAGCUUCGAGACCUUCCCCGGGCCCAAUCCGUUUUUCAUUCCAUCAUAAAGCUCGGAACUUUGCCCAGUUUAGCCUCGUACGGCGCGUUGCUUCAGUUAUUGUGUGUCAAAGAACAGGUGUCGCACGCUCUCUCACUGUUUUUCGGCGUGGCCAAAGCUGGUGUUCUCCCGCCUGCGUCCUCUUAUCACCUUUUGAUUACUUGAUUGUGCUCCGGAGGUUAAUUGAAUGAAGCACGCUUUCCUGUUUGAUGUAAUGCUUGGUGAUGACAUUCAACCCUCUCUCCCUUUGUUGAUGUCCUUGGCUUAUGGCUUUUGCUAAGGGCAGCGAAUGUUGGAUGCCGAGCGAGUUUGUAGGCUCAUGAAAUCGCAUGUGUUCGUUUUGGAUCGUAGGCUGUGCACGGCAAUAAUCGGCGAUGAUUCAUGGGUACGUCAGGGAAGGAAGGAUAAACUUGGCUCUUGAUCUUUUUAAGGAGUUGAAGGAGAAGAUUGGCAAGGUUUUGGAUGCUCUGUCCAGGAAUGGUUGCAAUAUCAAGUUAUCGACAUUUCGAGGUUUCUCAGAUUGUGUACUUCUGAUUCAGAUGAGGAAUUGCAGCGGGAAGUCAAGCUUCUUUUUGAUGAGAUGGCAGGAAACAAUAUAACCCCAUUGAAAGUGGUUGUCUAUAUUUUGUUAGGAUCUGUGUGCUCAUGGGGUAAGUUUAACAUUUCUCCUCUCUUAUUGGAGAAUAUGGUUGAUCAUCGAUAUGCACCUUCAAUUUCUCAUUAUAAUUUCUUAAUAAGAUGUUUGUGCAAGGAGGAUAGAAUAGAGGAUGCUUACUCUCUUUUAUGUCUUAUGAGAAGUAGAGGUGUGCUUCCUAAUCUGGCUACACAUUCAAGCAUGGAGACAUAGAUUUAGCAUUGUGAGCUUUUGAUGAGAUGAUACAGCAGGGUUUUAGGCCUUUUGUUGAUCUUUAUGAAUCAUUCACAAGAUCUUUGUGCAAAGCAGGGAGGAUGGUGGAAGCUGAUCUCACCUUUGACACGAUGCUACAGGCAUGCAUCAUGCCAGAUGAACGGAUCUACACUGCACUCAUCAAUGGUUAUUCAAAGAUGGGAAAGAUUGUUGACACUCGAUAUCUGUUUGAUGAGAUGGUCUAUCGUGAUAUUCGGCCAAGUUCCCAUGCUUACAAUGCUCUUAUUAAUGAACUGGUAAAGACUAACAUGUUUAGAAUGGCUGGCAAAUAUCUGGAUAUGUUCCUGGAGGAUGGUUUUGUGCUAGACACAGUACUUUACACAAUUCUCCUAAACCAAUUCCUUAAAAAAGGGGAUGUCCGCUUUGGACUAGAUCUAUUUGCAUUGAUGGUGAGGAACCAGGUUGAACCUAAUCUUAUCACAUUUGGAGCUGUGAUCAAUGGUAUAUGCAGAAAUGUCUCGUGGCAUGAAAAAAUGGAUUUUUCUUUAGCUAUAAAAUUGGAGGAAGCAAAGUGCUUACUUUUUAAGUUGUUAUAACAAAAUACUAUCGCGCCAGGAAAGUUAACUCAAAAUAUUCGAUGUGGAACUACUAAAAAAAAAAUUGAGCUAGCUAGGGAGUAUAUACUACAUCUUCCAGAUGUUGGCUUGGUUCCAGAUUUGCAUAUUUACAAUGGGAUGAUUAAUGGGUUUUGCCAAACUAAUAUGAGAGACAAUGUUAAUGCCUUCAUAGAUUCUAUGGACAAAGCCAGUGUUGUCGUUGACCAAAUAACAUGUAACAUCUUAAUGGGUGCCUAUAUCAAUUCGGAUGAGAUUGAUCAUGCGACAGAAUAAUUUAACCUGAUGAACAGGAAUGGUUGCAUGGCUAAUAAUGUUACUCUUGAUACAAUUAUAAAGGUUAUUCUAUUGUUGAAAGAGGGAUGGAGGCAUUAUCUCUUUUUCACAUGAUGCAAAAGAGAGGGUUUUUCCCUAGCGAAUCUUCAUGUCAUAGAUUACUUGACUGCCUCUGUCAGAGUCAUGCUAGUGCUCUUGCAUUUAGGCUAUUUGAGGAAAUGGUCUCACUUGGCUAUACACCACAGCAUGAUAAUCAUACUUCAUGCUCUUGGAAAAGGAAAGUUUGCUGGCAGCUCACAAAAACUUCAACAUGAUGCUUAAGAGAGGAAAAACUCCAGAUAAUGAGGCAAAGAAACAUCUGCUCAAUGUUUGCUAUAAGCAUGGAGAAUAUGAUCUGGCUUUUCUGAUUGACAAAAACAUACUAGUUUAUGAGGUUCUGCCUGAAGGUUGAGCACCUAGAUGCCUCUUUUUUGUGCUAUCGGUGGAGAGUCAGGGACAUGACCACUGUUACUUCAAAAAGUCUGGGCGAGCACUCUUUUCAGCUCUAAAUGAAGCACUAACCACAGAAGUACAGCGCCUGAAACUAGUGACUGCAGAGCUUGGUGACCCUCACCGUCUAUCCAAACAGCUUGAACCAGCAAAUGCAGCUGAAUCCUCAUAUGUUUCAUCUGCAGCAACUGCAGAAGGCACAACAGCAUCAAGAGCAUAACCUGCACAUACUCCUCUAUUUCAAAAACAACAGAAUGACUCUGCCUCAAAUAACGGACUGUCAAAUGACAAGAUGAAGCACUAAAUCAACAAAUAGUUUGCAUCUACAUUUUGUGUUAGCUUAAGUAGGAUAUGCAUUUGAGGAUUUCUUUACUUAAAAAGUGGUUUCAUUAUUAUUUUUCUUUAAGAUAAUAUUGUUUAAUUUUGAGAAGCAUGUCAUUUGGAUGUAAGAAUUCAUGGCCUUGUAACUAAAAUGUUGCUUCAUGAUGUGUUGUAUAAGAAUCUUUGACAGAGACUAUAUUUAAGAUGCUAUUUAUUUUUCACAA